rnacentral:rRNA from 1 species
UAAGCCGUUGAAGGUGAAUCGUAAGGUUUGCUGGAGGUAUCAGAAGUGCGAAUGCUGACAUGAGUAACGACAAAGGGGGUGAAAAACCUCCUCGCCGGAAGACCAAGGGUUCCUGUCCAACGUUAAUCGGGGCAGGGUGAGUCGACCCCUAAGGUGAGGCCGAAAGGCGUAAUCGAUGGGAAACGGGUUAAUAUUCCCGUACUUCUGACUAUUGCGAUGGGGGGACGGAGAAGGCUAGGUGGGCCAGGCGACGGUUGUCCUGGUUCAAGUGCGUAGGCUUGAGAGUUAGGUAAAUCCGGCUCUCUCUAAGGCUGAGACACGACGUCGAGCUGCUACGGCAGUGAAGUCAUUGAUGCCAUGCUUCCAGGAAAAGCCUCUAAGCUUCAGAUAGUCAGGAAUCGUACCCCAAACCGACACAGGUGGUCGGGUAGAGAAUACCAAGGCGCUUGAGAGAACUCGGGUGAAGGAACUAGGCAAAAUGGUACCGUAACUUCGGGAGAAGGUACGCUCUUGAUGGUGAAGUCCCUCGCGGAUGGAGCUGACGAGAGUCGCAGAUACCAGGUGGCUGCAACUGUUUAUUAAAAACACAGCACUGUGCAAAAUCGCAAGAUGACGUAUACGGUGUGACGCCUGCCCGGUGCCGGAAGGUUAAUUGAUGGGGUUAGCGCAAGCGAAGCUCUUGAUCGAAGCCCCGGUAAACGGCGGCCGUAACUAUAACGGUCCUAAGGUAGCGAAAUUCCUUGUCGGGUAAGUUCCGACCUGCACGAAUGGCGUAAUGAUGGCCACGCUGUCUCCACCCGAGACUCAGUGAAAUUGAAAUCGCUGUGAAGAUGCAGUGUACCCGCGGCUAGACGGAAAGACCCCGUGAACCUUUACUACAGCUUGGCACUGAACAUUGAACCUACAU